rnacentral:piRNA from 1 species
UGAGAUGGACUUUCAGAAACACUAAUGA